UCGACUAACGAGCACGUCUCAUUGUGAGGAACACCUUGAAAUUGAGCACCGCAGGUCGACAUAUGUUGACGUGGACAUUCUGGUCAUCAGAUCACACUGAAGGACGUCGCUAGUAAUUACAGGGAGAAAAACAGUUGACAUAAUGAAAAUAUAUACAAGCUUAUUUCUGAUUUUGGUGGUCGCUUUAAUUAUGGAGUCUGAAGCUUUAUAUUUAUUAAACACUAAACACUACCAGACACCCAAACAAAUGAAAAGGUUACCUCAUCCUUUGAAGAAAGGUGGUCAUCCAUUAUUGGGCAUCCAAAGCAAUCGACUUGGAUCAAAACAGCCGAGCGAAAUUUCUGGCUCUUCUAACUGACAGAUUCGUUUCAAUGUUGGCGCCUGAGUCAGGACUUGAAGACUAUGCAUAUGACAUUACAUUUUUCUUAAUUAAAUGAAUCUUUAAUUUUAAACGAAUUAAUUCAACUUUUCGUAAAUUGAUUCGCACUCCUAUCCAACUAUUCCGUACUAUUAUAGGCGCCUUAACAUGUUCAUUAGGUGCGCAAUAGUUCUAACCAUGCAACUCUA